UAGGGAAGGUUAUGUUGAGAAGUCUUUGA
rnacentral:piRNA from 1 species